rnacentral:rRNA from 1 species
UACGUAGGGGGCUAGCGUUGUCCGGAAUCAUUGGGCGUAAAGCGCGUGUAGGCGGUUCGGUAAGUCCGCUGUGAAAGUCGGGGGCUCAACCCUCGGAUGCCGGUGGAUACUGUCGGGCUUGAGUACGGAAGAGGCGAGUGGAAUUCCUGGUGUAGCGGUGAAAUGCGCAGAUAUCAGGAGGAACACCAAUUGCGAAGGCAGCUCGCUGGAACGUAACUGACGCUGAGACGCGAAAGCGUGGGGAGCAAACAGG